rnacentral:rRNA from 1 species
ACUAAGCGUACACGGUGGAUGCCCUGGCAGUCAGAGGCGAUGAAGGACGUGCUAAUCUGCGAAAAGCGUCGGUAAGGUGAUAUGAACCGUUAUAACCGGCGAUGUCCGAAUGGGGAAACCCAGUGUGUUCCGACACACUAUCAUUAACUGAAUCCAUAGGUUAAUGAGGCGAACCGGGGGAACUGAAACAUCUAAGUACCCCGAGGAAAAGAAAUCAACCGAGAUUCCCCCAGUAGCGGCGAGCGAACGGGGAGGAGCCCAGAGCCUGAAUCAGUGUGUGUGUUAGUGGAAGCGUCUGGAAAGGCGCGCGAUACAGGGUGACAGCCCCGUACACAAAAAUGCACAUGCUGUGAGCUCGAUGAGUAGGGCGGGACACGUGGUAUCCUGUCUGAAUAUGGGGGGACCAUCCUCCAAGGCUAAAUACUCCUGACUGACCGAUAGUGAACCAGUACCGUGAGGGAAAGGCGAAAAGAACCCCGGCGAGGGGAGUGAAAAAGAACCUGAAACCGUGUACGUACAAGCAGUGGGAGCCCUGAUUUAUCAGGGUGACUGCGUACCUUUUGUAUAAUGGGUCAGCGACUUAUAUUCUGUAGCAAGGUUAACCGAAUAGGGGAGCCGGAGGGAAACCGAGUCUUAACUGGGCGUUAAGUUGCAGGGUAUAGACCCGAAACCCGGUGAUCUAGCCAUGGGCAGGUUGAAGGUUGGGUAACACUAACUGGAGGACCGAACCGACUAAUGUUGAAAAAUUAGCGGAUGACUUGUGGCUGGGGGUGAAAGGCCAAUCAAACCGGGAGAUAGCUGGUUCUCCCCGAAAGCUAUUUAGGUAGCGCCUCGUGAAUUCAUCUCCGGGGGUAGAGCACUGUUUCGGCAAGGGGGUCAUCCCGACUUACCAACCCGAUGCAAACUGCGAAUACCGGAGAAUGUUAUCACGGGAGACACACGGCGGGUGCUAACGUCCGUCGUGAAGAGGGAAACAACCCAGACCGCCAGCUAAGGUCCCAAAGUCAUGGUUAAGUGGGAAACGAUGUGGGAAGGCCCAGACAGCCAGGAUGUUGGCUUAGAAGCAGCCAUCAUUUAAAGAAAGCGUAAUAGCUCACUGGUCGAGUCGGCCUGCGCGGAAGAUGUAACGGGGCUAAACCAUGCACCGAAGCUGCGGCAGCGACGCUGAUGCGUUGUUGGGUAGGGGAGCGUUCUGUAAGCCUGUGAAGGUGUGCUGUGAGGCAUGCUGGAGGUAUCAGAAGUGCGAAUGCUGACAUAAGUAACGAUAAAGCGGGUGAAAAGCCCGCUCGCCGGAAGACCAAGGGUUCCUGUCCAACGUUAAUCGGGGCAGGGUGAGUCGACCCCUAAGGCGAGGCCGAAAGGCGUAGUCGAUGGGAAACAGGUUAAUAUUCCUGUACUUGGUGUUACUGCGAAGGGGGGACGGAGAAGGCUAUGUUGGCCGGGCGACGGUUGUCCCGGUUUAAGCGUGUAGGCUGGUUUUCCAGGCAAAUCCGGAAAAUCAAGGCUGAGGCGUGAUGACGAGGCACUACGGUGCUGAAGCAACAAAUGCCCUGCUUCCAGGAAAAGCCUCUAAGCAUCAGGUAACAUCAAAUCGUACCCCAAACCGACACAGGUGGUCAGGUAGAGAAUACCAAGGCGCUUGAGAGAACUCGGGUGAAGGAACUAGGCAAAAUGGUGCCGUAACUUCGGGAGAAGGCACGCUGAUAUGUAGGUGAAGCGACUUGCUCGUGGAGCUGAAAUCAGUCGAAGAUACCAGCUGGCUGCAACUGUUUAUUAAAAACACAGCACUGUGCAAACACGAAAGUGGACGUAUACGGUGUGACGCCUGCCCGGUGCCGGAAGGUUAAUUGAUGGGGUCAGCGCAAGCGAAGCUCUUGAUCGAAGCCCCGGUAAACGGCGGCCGUAACUAUAACGGUCCUAAGGUAGCGAAAUUCCUUGUCGGGUAAGUUCCGACCUGCACGAAUGGCGUAAUGAUGGCCAGGCUGUCUCCACCCGAGACUCAGUGAAAUUGAACUCGCUGUGAAGAUGCAGUGUACCCGCGGCAAGACGGAAAGACCCCGUGAACCUUUACUAUAGCUUGACACUGAACACUGGUCCUUGAUGUGUAGGAUAGGUGGGAGGCUUUGAAGUGUGGACGCCAGUCUGCAUGGAGCCGUCCUUGAAAUACCACCCUUUAAUGGCUGGUGUUCUAACGUUGGCCCCUUACCGGGGUUGCGGACAGUGUCUGGUGGGUAGUUUGACUGGGGCGGUCUCCUCCUAAAGAGUAACGGAGGAGCACGAAGGUUGGCUAAUCCUGGUCGGACAUCAGGAGGUUAGUGCAAUGGCAUAAGCCAGCUUGACUGCGAGCGUGACGGCGCGAGCAGGUGCGAAAGCAGGUCAUAGUGAUCCGGUGGUUCUGAAUGGAAGGGCCAUCGCUCAACGGAUAAAAGGUACUCCGGGGAUAACAGGCUGAUACCGCCCAAGAGUUCAUAUCGACGGCGGUGUUUGGCACCUCGAUGUCGGCUCAUCACAUCCUGGGGCUGAAGUAGGUCCCAAGGGUAUGGCUGUUCGCCAUUUAAAGUGGUACGCGAGCUGGGUUUAGAACGUCGUGAGACAGUUCGGUCCCUAUCUGCCGUGGGCGCUGGAGAACUGAGGGGGGCUGCUCCUAGUACGAGAGGACCGGAGUGGACGCAUCACUGGUGUUCGGGUUGUCAUGCCAAUGGCACUGCCCGGUAGCUAAAUGCGGAAGAGAUAAGUGCUGAAAGCAUCUAAGCACGAAACUUGCCCCGAGAUGAGUUCUCCCUGAGACAUUAAGUCUCCUGAAGGAACGUUGAAGACGACGACGUUGAUAGGCCGGGUGUGUAAGCGCAGCGAUGCGUUGAGCUAACCGGUACUAAUGAACCGUGAGGCUUAACC